UUCAUCCAACCCCAUAAUGAACUGAUGUACCCGCUCUUCUUCACGUUCCUUCUCAUACACAGCAGCCGCUGAACAACUGCAUACUGGUGGAGGUUUGUACGUUUGUAGCUCCUCCCACAUCAUCGCCAACCGACCAUAAUAGUCGAUCACUGCCUGACCAUUCUGCCUACACGAGGCCAAUUGCUCCAUGAGCUGGUGCACUCUUACCUUGUUACCCACUUCAAAGCGUUUCUUCAAAUUUUCCCACAGCUUGUGAGCUUCUGUGAUGAAGGUUACGGUAGAUCUAACUCUCGGUUCAAUAGAGG
rnacentral:lncRNA from 1 species